UGAGUAACCUGCCCUUAACUCUGGGAUAAGCCUGGGAAACUGGGUCUAAUACCGGAUAUGACUCCUCAUCACAUGGUGGGGGGUGGAAAGCUUUAUUGUGGUUUUGGAUGGACUCGCGGCCUAUCAGCUUGUUGGUGAGGUAAUGGCUCACCAAGGCGACGACGGGUAGCCGGCCUGAGAGGGUGACCGGCCACACUGGGACUGAGACACGGCCCAGACUCCUACGGGAGGCAG
rnacentral:rRNA from 1 species